rnacentral:misc_RNA from 1 species
UGGCUGGAUAAGAAUGCAGAAUCUCAUCUUAUUUCAUGUUUUAUUUCUUAAUAAAGUAUUUAUAGUAAUGAAGUUUUGAUCACAUGUGAGUCUAUUGUAAAAGGAACAUGUUCUUGUUUUGAAUCAAAUAUAGUUGAAAGUUUUUUUGAAGAUUGUAUUUUCCAUAGGUGACCCUGAUUUUGUUAAGCUGGAAUCACUUAGGUAGAUUAUCGAGGUUAUGAAG